rnacentral:rRNA from 1 species
UGGGGAAUUUUGGACAAUGGACGCAAGUCUGAUCCAGCCAUGCCGCGUGCGGGAAGAAGGCCUUCGGGUUGUAAACCGCUUUUGUCAGGGAGGAAACGAGUUUCUCUAAUACAGAGACUUAAUGACGGUACCUGAAGAAUAAGCACCGGCUAACUACGUGCCAGCAGCCGCGGUAAUACGUAGGGUGGGAGCGUUAAUCGGAAUUACUGGGCGUAAAGCGUGCGCAGGCGGUUUUGUAAGACAGAGGUGGAAUCCCCGGGCUCAACCUGGGAAUUGCCUUUGUGACUGCAAGGCUUGAGUGCGGCAGAGGGGGAUGGAAUUCCGCGUGUAGCAGUGAAAUGCGUAGAUAUGCGGAGGAACACCGAUGGCGAAGGCAAUCCCCUGGGCCUGCACUGACGCUCAUGCACGAAAGCGUGGGGAGCAAACA